UACGAACCGUGCGAACGUUGUUCGGAAUUACUGGGCGUAAAGCGCACGUAGGCGGACUAUUAAGUCAGGGGUGAAAUCCCGGGGCUCAACCCCGGAACUGCCUUUGAUACUGGUAGUCUCGAGUCCGGAAGAGGUGAGUGGAAUUCCGAGUGUAGAGGUGAAAUUCGUAGAUAUUCGGAGGAACACCAGUGGCGAAGGCGGCUCACUGGUCCGGUACUGACGCUGAGGUGCGAAAGCGUGGGGAGCAAACAGG
rnacentral:rRNA from 1 species